rnacentral:rRNA from 1 species
GAUGAACGCUGGCGGCGUGCCUAAUACAUGCAAGUCGAGCGGACAGACGAGGAGCUUGCUCCUCUGACGUUAGCGGCGGACGGGUGAGUAACACGUGGAUAACCUACCUAUAAGACUGGGAUAACUUCGGGAAACCGGAGCUAAUACCGGAUAAUAUAUUGAACCGCAUGGUUCAAUAGUGAAAGACGGUUUUGCUGUCACUUAUAGAUGGAUCCGCGCCGCAUUAGCUAGUUGGUAAGGUAACGGCUUACCAAGGCAACGAUGCGUAGCCGACCUGAGAGGGUGAUCGGCCACACUGGACCUGAGACACGGUCCAGACUCCUACGGGAGGCAGCAGUAGGGAAUCUUCCGCAAUGGGCGAAAGCUUGACGGAGCAACGCCGCGUGAGUGAUGAAGGUCUUCGGAUCGUAAAACUCUGUUAUUAGGGAAGAACAAAUGUGUAAGUAACUAUGCACGUCUUGACGGUACCUAAUCAGAAAGCCACGGCUAACUACGUG